UAGAGUUUGAUCAUGGCUCAGAUUGAACGCUGGCGGCAGGCCUAACACAUGCAAGUCGAGCGGUAACAGAGAUUAGCUUGCUAAUCUGCUGACGAGCGGCGGACGGGUGAGUAAUGCAUAGGAAGUUGCCCAGUAGAGGGGGAUACCAGUUGGAAACGACUGUUAAUACCGCAUAAUCUCUUUGGAGCAAAGCAGGGGACCUUCGGGCCUUGCGCUACUGGAUACGCCUAUGUGGGAUUAGCUAGUUGGUGAGGUAAUGGCUCACCAAGGCGACGAUCCCUAGCUGGUCUGAGAGGAUGAUCAGCCACACUGGGACUGAGACACGGCCCAGACUCCUACGGGAGGCAGCAGUGGGGAAUAUUGCACAAUGGGCGAAAGCCUGAUGCAGCCAUGCCGCGUGUAUGAAGAAGGCCUUCGGGUUGUAAAGUACUUUCAGUUGUGAGGAAGGUUGUGUAGUUAAUAGCUGCAUAAUUUGACGUUAGCAACAGAAGAAGCACCGGCUAACUCCGUGCCAGCAGCCGCGGUAAUACGGAGGGUGCGAGCGUUAAUCGGAAUUACUGGGCGUAAAGCGCAUGCAGGUGGUUUGUUAAGUCAGAUGUGAAAGCCCGGGGCUCAACCUCGGAAGGUCAUUUGAAACUGGCAAACUAGAGUCCUGUAGAGGGGGGUAGAAUUUCA
rnacentral:rRNA from 1 species